UUUUAUGAUGAGAAAAGCAGACCUGAUUUGAAAAAAAAUUUGAAAAUAAUUUUUAAUACUGAAAAA